GAUCCUGGCUCAGGAUGAACGCUGGCGGCGUGCUUAACACAUGCAAGUCGAACGAAGCAAUUGCGACAGAAGCCUUCGGGUGGAAGAUGUAAUUGACUGAGUGGCGGACGGGUGAGUAACGCGUGGGUAACCUGCCUUGUACAGGGGGAUAACAGUUAGAAAUGACUGCUAAUACCGCAUAAGCGCACAGUAUCGCAUGGUACAGUGUGAAAAACUCCGGUGGUACAAGAUGGACCCGCG
rnacentral:rRNA from 1 species